rnacentral:rRNA from 1 species
AGUGAACGCUGGCGGUAGGCCUAACACAUGCAAGUCGAACGGCAGCACAGAGGAGCUUGCUCCUUGGGUGGCGAGUGGCGGACGGGUGAGGAAUACAUCGGAAUCUACUCUGUCGUGGGGGAUAACGGAGGGAAACUUACGCUAAUACCGCAUACAACCUAAGUGUGAAAGCAGGGAGACGUCCGACCCUCCGCUCUUGACUGAGCCGAUGUCGGAUUAGCUAGUUGGCGGGGUAAAGGCCCACCAAGGCGACGAUCCGUAGCUGGGCUGAGAGGAUGAUCAGCAACACUGGAGCUGAGACACGGUCCAGCCUCCUACGGGAGGCAGCAGUGGGGAAUAUUGGACAAUGGGCGCAAGCCUGAUCCAGCCAUACCGCGUGGGUGAAGAAGGCCUUCGGGUUGUAAAGCCCUUUUGUUGGGAAAGAAAUCCAUCUGGUUAAUACCCGGGUGGGAUGACGGUACCCAAAGAAUAAGCACCGGCUAACUUCGUGCCAGCCGCCGCCGUA